rnacentral:rRNA from 1 species
GACGACGCUGGCGGCGUGCCUAACACAUGCAAGUCGAACGGGGCAGCAAUGCCCAGUGGCGAACGGGUGCGUAACACGUGAGGAACUUGUCCAUCGGCGGGGGAUAGCCGGCCCAACGGCCGGGUAAUACCGCGUACGUCGGCGAGACCGCAUGGUCUUGCCGGGAAAGCAGCAAUGCACCGAUGGAGAGCCUCGCGGCCUAUCAGCUAGUUGGUGAGGUAAUGGCUCACCAAGGCGACGACGGGUAGCUGGUCUGAGAGGAUGAUCAGCCACAUUGGGACUGAGACACGGCCCAGACUCCUACGGGAGGCAGCAGUGGGGAAUAUUGCGCAAUGGGCGAAAGCCUGACGCAGCGACGCCGCGUGUGGGAUGACGGCCUUCGGGUUGUAAACCACUGUCGCGAGGGACGAAGAUCUGACGGUACCUCGAAAGGAAGCACCGGCUAACUCUGUG